rnacentral:rRNA from 1 species
GACGAACGCUGGCGGCGUGCUUAACACAUGCAAGUCGAGCGGAAAGGCCCUUCGGGGUCCUCGAGCGGCGAACGGGUGAGUAACACGUGAGUAACCUGCCCCAGACUUUGGGAUAACCCUCGGAAACGGGGGCUAAUACCGGAUACGACACAGCUUCGCAUGGGGUCAGUGUGGAAAGUUUUUCGGUUUGGGAUGGGCUCGCGGCCUAUCAGCUUGUUGGUGGGGUGAUGGCCUACCAAGGCGACGACGGGUAGCCGGCCUGAGAGGGCGACCGGCCACACUGGGACUGAGACACGGCCCAGACUCCUACGGGAGGCAGCAGUGGGGAAUAUUGCACAAUGGGCGGAAGCCUGAUGCAGCGACGCCGCGUGAGGGAUGACGGCCUUCGGGUUGUAAACCUCUUUCAGCAGGGACGAAGCGUAAGUGACGGUACCUGCAGAAGAAGCGCCGGCCAACUACGUG